rnacentral:rRNA from 1 species
GAUGAACGCUGGCGGCGUGCCUAACACAUGCAAGUCGAGCGAUGAAACCGCCUCCGGGCGGACAUGAAGCGGCGAACGGGUGAGUAACACGUGACCGACCUGCCCCCCGCCCAGGGACAGCCCCCCGAAAGGGGGAUUAAUACCUGGUACUCCGGAAGCGGCGCAUGCCGCGUCCGGGAAAGCUUUCGCGGCGGGGGAUGGGGUCGCGGCCCAUCAGGUAGACGGCGGGGCAGAGGCCCACCGUGCCGACGACGGGUAGCCGGGUUGAGAGACCGACCGGCCACAUUGGGACUGAGAUACGGCCCAGACUCCUACGGGAGGCAGCAGUGGGGAAUUUUGCGCAGUGGGGGCAACCCUGACGCAGCAACGCCGCGUGCGGGACGAAGGCGUCCGCGUCGUAAACCGCUUUCAGCGGGGAACGCUUCAACGAGGGUACCCGCAGAAGAAGCCCCGGCUAAAUACGUGCCAGCAGCCGCAGUAA